CUCUGUGGUUUUCCUGUGAACAAACUCUACAUCUACACAACUUCUCUACUGAAAUAAUCCUCUGGGUGAAGAUAUUCUGUGAAGUCAGACUAACAGUGAGACUCUCUGAAAAAUGACAUUGUUCAUCCCAGAUAUGACUGCUGGACGUCUGUUUUUUGUCAUCCUCAUUUUCUAUACCUUCCAACAUGUCAAAGCCCAAGACCGUCCUAAGCCCAGUCUGACUCUGAAUCAUGCAGUCAUCAGAGAGAGAGAAUCUAUUCAGCUGAUCUGUGAGACUCCAUCUGUAUCUGUGCCUCAGUGUCACUUCAUCAUAGAGGGGGAACAGAAGUCAUAUCCUUUACCUUGUCAGAGCACACUAACGGGAGAUAAGCUGCUUCACUGGGCAGGUCAAAGUUCACCUGUUGAGGUCAAAAUUCAAUGUUUCUACAUGGUGGAGACAUACUAUCCAUCGACACACAGUGACCCUGUCUCUUUGAGGAUUCUGGAUCACAGAGACCUCCCUCAGCCCAUUCUGACAGUGAAUCCUAAAGUUAUCAGAGAGAGAGACUCAGUUCAGCUGAGCUGUGUGACUCCUCCAUCUCUCUCUGAGUGUCAGUGUGUAUUCUAUGAAGACGGGAGACCUGCUCUUCCAGACACAUCCUGUAAACAGACGGUCACAGGAACUCAGCUGCUUUCUUGGACAGGUCAAAAAUCACCAGCUGUGGUCCAGGUGAUGUGUUACUACAUUGUAGGAAGAUAUCACACAUCUCCUCCCAGUGACCCAGUCAUUGUCACAUUCCAGGACCCUCCUCAGCCCAGUCUGACAGUGAGUCCUUCAGUCAUCAGAGAGAGAGACUCCGUUCAGAUGAUCUGUGAGACUCCAUCUGUAUCUGUGUCAGUGUGUCACUUCAUCAUAGAGGGGGAACAGAUCUCACAUCCUUCACCAUGUCAGAGCACACUAACGGGAUAUCAGCUGCUUCACUGGGCAGGUCAAAUUUCACCUGUUGAGGUCAAAAUUCUAUGUUUCUACAUUGUGGAGACAUACUAUCCAUCAACACGCAGUGACCCUGUCUCUUUGAGGAUUCUGGAUCAACAAGACCUCCCUCAGCCCAAUCUGAUAGUGAUUCCCACAGUUAUCAGAGAGGGAGACUCAGUUCAGCUGAGCUGUGUGACUCCUCAAUCUCUCUCUGUGUCUCAAUGUGUAUUCUAUGAAGACGGGAGACCUGCUCUUCCAGACACAUUCUGUAAACAGACUGUCACAGGAAUUCAGCUGCUUUCUUGGGCAGGUCAAAAAUCACCAGCUGUGGUCCAGGUGAUGUGUUACUACAUUGUAGAAAGAUAUUACCCAUCUCCUUCCAGUGGCCCAGUCAUUGUCACUGUCCAGGGUUUAACCUCUCCUUUCACACCCAGCAUGGCAAUUAAUCAUACAUCAGGUUCCACAGUUAGUACUACUUUGACAAGUGACACCCCAAAGAAAACAACUGUAGGUUCAACCACUGCUUCUAGCACCCCGGCAACUUCAUCAGGUUUAACCUCUCCUUUCAUACCCAGCAUGGCAAUUAAUCAUACUUCAGGUUCCACAGUUAGUAUUACUUUGACAAGUGACACCCCAAAGAAAACAACUGUAGGUUUGACUGUUAGUUCGACUUUGACAACUGGCAGCUCUCAGAGUUCAACUGAAAGAGUUCAAAGCUCCACAAUAACUGUUGUGGAUUCAAACCAAGAGAGCAAUUUGGUGCAAUCAUUUUGGUUAGCAGCAGUGGGUGUGGGUUCUGGAGUUGGCUUGUUCCUUGUGGGACUGACAGCUGUCUGUCUCUGUAGGAAGACCAAAAGAAACAAAUCUCAGAGACAUCAAGACCAACAAGAUGAUCAUAACCAACAUCCUUUUGGAGAGAACGGACAAUCAUCUGAACAUGAUAAUUAUGAUAUAUAUCACCUGUACAACUCAAUCCCAGACAGACCUGCAGCCUCAGCCCAGACAGAUGGGUUUUACAGUCUUCUGAUGACACACUGAAAUUACAUGACUCACUUUCUGUAGUUACAAUAUCCAAAUGUUUUUGGACAGUGAUAUGUUUUUUUACUCUUUAUUCUAAUUUGAAAUAAAACAAUGACAAAGGUGUUAAAAUGCAGAUUGUCCACUGAUAUCUGAGAACAUUAUCCGUAUUGGAUGAACAAUAAAAAAAACGACAGAAU
ensembl:lncRNA